rnacentral:rRNA from 1 species
UACAGAGACUGCAAGCGUUAUUCGGAUUCACUGGGCGUAAAGGGUGCGCAGGCGGCCAUGUGUGUGAGGCGUGAAAGCCCGGGGCUUAACCCCGGAAUUGCACCUCAAACUAUUUGGCUAGAGCAUUGGAGAGGGAAGCGGAAUUCACGGUGUAGCAGUGAAAUGCGUAGAUAUCGUGAGGAACACCAGAGGCGAAGGCGGCUUCCUGGACAAUUGCUGACGCUCAGGCACGAAAGCGUGGGGAGCAAACAGG